rnacentral:rRNA from 1 species
UACGUAGGACACAAGCGUUAUCCGGAGUUACUGGGCGUAAAGGGCGCGUAGGCGGCGCAGUUAGUCAGGCGUGAAAUUCCUGGGCUCAACCUGGGGACUGCGCUUGAUACGGCUGUGCUAGAGGUAGGUAGGGGAGAACGGAAUUCCCGGUGUAGCGGUGAAAUGCGCAGAUAUCGGGAGGAACACCGGUGGCGAAGGCGGUUCUCUGGGCCUUACCUGACGCUGAGGAGCGAAAGCGUGGGGAGCGAACAGG